rnacentral:rRNA from 1 species
CCCUUAGAUGUUCUGGGCCGCACGCGCGCUACACUGACGAAUGCAACGAGCUUAUAACCUUGGCCGAAAGGUCUGGGUAAUCUCCAAAUUUCGUCGUGAUGGGGAUGGAUUAUUGCAAUUAUUAAUCUUCAACGAGGAAUGCCUAGUAAGCGCAAGUCAUCAGCUUGCGUUGAUUACGUCCCUGCCCUUUGUACACACCGCCCGUCGCUCCUACCGAUUGAAUGGUCCGGUGAAGCGCUCGGACCGCGGCCUCUUGACGGUUUUCCGUCGAUUGGCUGUGGGAAGUUCGUUAAACCUUAUCAUUUAGAGGAAGGAGAAGUCGUAACA